rnacentral:ncRNA from 1 species
UAAAAUAGCCCAAAUUUUACUAAAUUUUAACAAGUUUGAUUCUUGCUUAGAAUUUUAAUAUUGCAAUGAAUUAUAUACAAAUUUUAUUUACUUAAUGUAUUUUUAGUGUAGUAGUUAAGUUUAAUUAAUCAACUUACGUUGGAUUUAUUAAUUGUAAAAGUACUGACUUAUAUUGUGCCAGCAGUCGCGGUUAUACAAUUAGUGCAGUUAAAUUGUUUUGGUUAGCAGCUAAAUUUAUUAUUAGGAUAUCAAUUUGUUAAUUUUAGGUGAAAUUUAAUUUAUAUAAGUUUCUUUUUAAUGAGCCUGCGAAAUUAAUUUAGGGACUAGGAUUAGAUACCCUAUUACUUUUAAUGUAAAGUUUAUAGAACUUGAGUAGUAUAAUUUAUGUAUUGAAACUCAAAGAAUUUGGCGGUUCUUGACCUGCUUAGAGGAACCUGUCCUGUAAUUGACAAUUCACGAUUAAUUUUACUUAAUAUAUUUGCUUGUAUAUCUUCGUUGUUAGAAUGUCUUUUUAGAGAAUAACAUUCAAUAUAUUUUAAUAAAUAUAAUUUCAGAUCAAGAUGCAGCUUAUGAUUAAGAAGAGAUGGGUUACAAUAACUUUUAAUUAAAUGGAUUUAAAAACUAAAAUUUUAAUUGAAGGUGGAUUUAAUAGUAAUAUAAAUUAUUUAGUUUAUAUGAUCUUAGCUCUCAAGUGUGUACAUAUCGCCCGUCGCUCUCAUUAAAUGGGUAAUUUUCCUUUUAUAAGGUGAGAUAAGUCGUAACAUAGUAGAUUUACUGGAAAGUGAAUCUAGAAAG